CGAACGAAGCUCAGUAUGAUGUGGUUCCAGAUCUUCUUUUUCGAUUCUUCUGAGCUUAGUAUGGCGUAGAUUGGAGUUCUAUUGCUUCAAUUUCUUUUUCUUUCUUGUUUGAUUUGGUGAUUUUUGGAUUGAUAUGCGCUGCAUGAGACUCGAUUGGAGCUUGGUGAGAUCUGUGAUCUUCGAUUUUUGAGAUUCGUUUUGAUUGUGGAUUUGCUCUUGUGUUUUGGUUUGAGCUGUGGUGAAAAAUUUGUGUUAUUCGAUUUAAUUGAGAGAUAUAUAUGGAUGAUUCGAGAGUGGCGAAGUGCAC